GGGGGGAGAGUACAUGGAAAUUUUAUAUGAACUGUGAGGGCAUGGCAAUGCACACACACACACACACAUAUUUAUUCAUGUGCUAUAAAAAUUCAUAAUUAUUUGAUUAAAAGGGGGCAAAUUAUAAUUUAUUGGGGCAAUUUCAUAAAAACAAAGAUGAUACACAAAAAUUUUACAUGAACAGUAGGGACAAUUAAACUAAUUGAGGGGGCAAUCUCAUAAAAAAGGAAAAGAGGGGGAAACAAGGGGAGAAAAUGCCCCCAGUGCCACCACCCUAAAUCAGCCGCUGCAUUUACAUAUAAUGCAUAAUCUUCUAGUAUCUUACGAACAUCUCA
rnacentral:misc_RNA from 1 species